CCCUUAGAUGUUCUGGGCCGCACGCGCGCUACACUGAUGCAUUCAACGAGUCUAAAACCUGCUCUGAUAGGGGUGGGUAAUCUUUUGAAUGUGCAUCGUGAUUGGGAUAGAUGAUUGAAAUUUUUCAUCUUCAACGAGGAAUGCCUAGUAAACGCAAGUCAUCAGCUUGCAUUGAUUACGUCCCUGCCCUUUGUACACACCGCCCGUCACUCCUACCGAUUGAAUGAUCCGAUGAAUAUCAUGGAUUGAGGAUGCAAGUAGGUUCACCUAUCUUCAUCUUCGAGAAGUGAAGUAAAUCUUAUCAUUUAGAGGAAGGAGAAGUCGUAACA
rnacentral:rRNA from 1 species